UACAGAGGUCUCAAGCGUUGUUCGGAAUUACUGGGCGUAAAGCGUGCGCAGGCGGCUUUGCAAGACAGAUGUGAAAUCCCCCGGGCUCAACCUGGGAACUGCAUUUGUGACUGCAUCGCUGGAGUGCGGCAGAGGGGGAUGGAAUUCCGCGUGUAGCAGUGAAAUGCGUAGAUAUGCGGAGGAACACCGAUGGCGAAGGCAAUCCCCUGGGCCUGCACUGACGUCAUGCACGAAAGCGUGGGAGCAACAGG
rnacentral:rRNA from 1 species